rnacentral:lncRNA from 10 species
GCGGAGCUUGCAGUGAGUCGAGAUCGCGCCACUGCACUCCAUCCAGCCUGAGCGACAGAGCGAGACUCUGUCUCAAAAAUAAAAAUAAAAAAUAAAUAAAAUAAAUAAAUAAAUAAAUAAAUAAAUAAAAAUGAAAGCCAUUGUGGAGUCUGACAGCGGCUUUCAAUAGUUCAAGUGCAUUCACGUACCACUGUGCCUUAGCGUAGGUCUUCUGAUCUUACAGUAACUUGGCAUCUUUUAACUAUGAUGCAGUUAUGAUAAAUUAUUGCAUCAUAAUUGAAUUAUACAUAAUUAUUUCUCUUAAUUGCAUCAUAGUUAAAUAACUUGCCCUUAUUUUAAAUAAAAGCAUGCUGUUUUAGGAAAUAAAUCAGUCAUGCACAAUGGCUCAUGCCUAUAAUCCCAGCACUUUGGGAGGCUCAGGCAGGAGGACCUCUUGAGGCCAGGAGCUUGAGACCAGCCUUAAUAACAUAGCAAGGCCCCAUCUCUACAAAAAAUAAAAAAUUAGCCGGGCACAAUGGCACAUACCUGUAGUCUCAGCUACUUAGGGGGCUGAGGUGAUAAGAUUGCUUGAGCCCGGGAGUUCAAGGCUGUAGUGAGCCAUGAUCAUGCCACUGCACUCCAGUCUGAGUGACUGAGCAAGACCCUGUCUCAAAAAAUAUAAAAGAAAUGGACUGAACCUGAAGCUCAACUAGUGUCAGUUCAGUUGCCCUGCUCUGUCACUCACAGUACGAUGCAUUUGUUCAUGAAAUAUUAAUUGAGCACUUGCUCUUUGCCGGACCUGGAGAAGGGGAAAGGGGUCCCUGGAGCUCCCUGUCUAGAGUGAGCCAGUGAGCAGAAAAUGACAAUGCUGUAUAGUAAGUGCUGAAUAGACUGAUGGGCAGUUGCCAUAGGAGCCCAAGGGGAGUUCCUUGGGGGCAGUGGGGGCAGAUGGAUUAAAGACAGUUUUGCAGAACAGGGGAUAUUUGAGCUGAGCCUUGAAGGAGCAGUUGGAUUUUUUUUCAGGUAGAGAUGAAAGAGAGUGAGCCAAGCAGAAGGACCAGCAUUUGCAAAAGUCAUGGAAACAGGGAAAUGCCUGAUGUGUGAGGAAGAUGGCAAAAUGUUAAAUGUCCCAGGCAGGGAGGUCAGGCUGGCUGGGGAAGUGACUGGCACCAGAUAAGACUGUGAAUGCCAGGGAGAGUGGGGAACCCCUGCCACAUGGAGGUCACCCAACCCUGGCCCUGGAGCUGUCCCCCUGAGCUGUCCACCCCCAUCCUGAAAACUCCGUUCAGCCCCUCCCCUCCUACCUUCCUCCUGCCCUUAGAAACCCUGAUUUCACUGUGGUCAAAUUCCCCCCCAUUCUUGGCUUAGGGAAAACAAUUAUGAGGCAGGAAUUCUUGUAAGAGCUUUUUCUAUAUUAAAAUGCUUGAUCCUCUGUUAAAUAUUGUUUGUCUUUUUUUUCACAGUUUGACCUUAUUUUAUUAUGUUUUGUUAGAAAGAAGCCUCCCAUUAUUAUGUCAUGAAAUCUAUCAGUCUGUUCAUAUGAUGUCUUCUUAGGAAGUUGUCCCCUAUCCUAAAAUUGUUGUGUGAACCACCUUGGAGCAAAGCCCUUCCUGCCCACCAUAAGAAAACUGGCAAGUCCUAGCUAGGUGCAGUGGCUCAUGCCUGUAAUCCCAGCACUUUGGGAGGCCAAGGC